rnacentral:rRNA from 1 species
GAUGAACGCUGGCGGCGUGCCUAAUACAUGCAAGUCGAGCGAACAGACGAGGAGCUUGCUCCUUUGACGUUAGCGGCGGACGGGUGAGUAACACGUAGGUAACCUACCUAUAAGACUGGGAUAACUUCGGGAAACCGGAGCUAAUACCGGAUAAUAUUUCGAACCGCAUGGUUCGAUAGUGAAAGAUGGUUUUGCUAUCACUUAUAGAUGGACCUGCGCCGUAUUAGCUAGUUGGUAAGGUAACGGCUUACCAAGGCAACGAUACGUAGCCGACCUGAGAGGGUGAUCGGCCACACUGGAACUGAGACACGGUCCAGACUCCUAAGGGAGGCAACAGUAGGGAAUCUUCCGCAAUGGGCGAAAGCCUGACGGAGCAACGCCGCGUGAGUGAUGAAGGUCUUCGGAUCGUAAAACUCUGUUAUUAGGGAAGAACAAACGUGUAAGUAACUGUGCACGUCUUGACGGUACCUAAUCAGAAAGCCACGGCUAACUACGUG